rnacentral:rRNA from 1 species
AAUGAACGCUGGCGGCAGGCCUAACACAUGCAAGUCGAACGGCUCCUUCGGGAUUAGUGGCGGACGGGUGAGUAACGCGUGGGAACAUACCCUUUGGUACGGAAUAGCCUCGGGAAACUGGGAGUAAUACCGUAUGUGGUCGAGAGGCGAAAGAUUUAUGGCCAAAGGAUGGGCCCGCGUUGGAUUAGGUAGUUGGUGGGGUAAUGGCCUACCAAGCCGACGAUCCAUAGCUGGUUUGAGAGGAUGAUCAGCCACACUGGGACUGAGACACGGCCCAGACUCCUACGGGAGGCAGCAGUGGGGAAUCUUAGACAAUGGGGGAAACCCUGAUCUAGCCAUGCCGCGUGAUCGAUGAAGGCCUUAGGGUUGUAAAGAUCUUUCAGGUGGGAAGAUAAUGACUGUACCACCAGAAGAAGCCCCGGCUAACUCCGUGCCAGCCGCCGCGGUAA